rnacentral:lncRNA from 1 species
AUGUGUGUGUGUGUGUGUGUGAGAGAGAGAGAGAGAGAGAGAAAGACAGGUAGAAAAUGAAUGUGUGUGUCUGUGUGUGCUUGUGUACAUGUGUGUGUGUGUGUGAGAGAGAGAGAGAGACAGGUGGAAAAUGAAUGUGUGUGUCUCUGUGUGCUUGUGUGCAUGUGUGUGUGUGUGUGUGUGUGUGUGUAGAUGUGUGACUAUUGACUUAGAUACUUUUCACUAAAAAUGAAAAGGCUUUAAAAUAUGACUGUCACUUGUUUUCAAACAAAUCCUUUUUAAGACUUUUUAAACAAGAAUGGCAACCCUGUAUGUCCCCUCCCAGACUGCCCAUCACUUUGGGUUUUCAAAAUGAAAGCACAAGAGAAAGAGUGGGGCGCACAGGUGCCUGGCAUGUGCAUACCCUUGCACAGCUCUGUGUUGCGCCCUGGCUGAGCAGUUCCACCCAGGAAACUGAGGCCUCCUCUGCUACUUGCCAAUUCCACUGCCAUUAGUGUGAAUUCCUUAGGGUGCUCCAGCAAACAAGCAUCUGCCCAAUUGUUUCGAUAUUGUCUUUUUGGUAGUUCAAACACUAGGGAUUAGGGGCAGCAGUGUUUUUUGUUUAAGCAGUUAGAGCCAGAUGCUUCCUCUCUCCCACUGGAUGGUAACUCUCCAGAUCCCAGACAGAGUUGACAGAUCUUUUGACAAGCAAAUGGCAUCCCAUGAGAAAACCAAGAAAAAAAAUCCAAUAUUGCCACUAGAUUGUCUUUUAAUUCAAGUGGGAGGAAGAUGGCAGAGAGAGGCUGAGUUGCCAGGACAGUGUCUUUGGAACAGAGUGUGUGCUCUGACUGUGUGUCUGCUCAGUCAAUCCUGAGCUGCUGGGUCGGGCUGCUUUUCAGCCUGUCAAGUGCUGAAGCUCCAUUCACGGGCGUCACCGAUCUUCCCCACUGAAAUCUCCUAAUACUAAUCAGUAUAAUUAGCUAAUUUUAGACUGCUGCAAUGAAAUUGCUUCCAAGUACAGUAAAAGCCCAUUAAUUUGAGCACACUAAUUCAGAACUUAGAGGAAAUCCAAAUCGAGAUAAUUCACAGUAACUGUUAUUCUUGCUAUAUAAAAAUAUUUGAAAGCGUCUUCCCUUCAUUCAGUCUUCAUCUGUAUAAAAGGAAUUCUGUUUAAAAUGGGUACCUUUUUCAAAGGAAAUGCUCAAGGUACCAAGGAUCCCUUCAUUGUGCCUUCAGCUUGGAGUUUAGCAGUUCUUGUGUCUAAGGCUCUUUCUGUGCAGGGUGAUCCCUUGUUCUCUCUCCAUUGUGGGGAUGUUAGAUAUUAAAGCCUUUCACUCCAUGUCUGUAUUUAUCCUGUGAUUAAAUUAGUUUGUGAUCUUGACUGCAGUUUAAAUACAAGUAUGUGUCUUUGUAAGUGUUCUGUAAAGCAGACGUUGCACUAACAGACCGCCUGCUCUCAUUUACCCUCAAGUCUUCAAACUUUAGAGUGUCUCCUUUCCCAGGCUGUGGAAGGAGAAUCUCUCUCUAGGAAGAAUUUCUGUGACAAAGAUCUCCAAAUAGCACACGCCCUCAGCUCCAUGCCUCAACCGUUGUUUCACUGUACUGCUAUCUGACUGCUGAACGUGCCUGCCCUUCUCCAGCCCCCAGCGAGCAUAAAGACUGAUAGCUAGGAUUGGGACCAACCCUCCAGCUGCUUUUUGCCACCCAACCUGUCUUGCCUCUCUGAUGCCAUUUUCCCAGACCUGAAUUCACCUGCUGUUUUACUCUGUCAUUGUGAAUUUGUGACAAUGGCAACCCCGAGCUUCUAGAAAUGAUUACUGUGAAAUGGAUUAAUUUUGGUACCAUUUGAAACUGUGCUCAUACUCAUGUCUUGACUGAUGUCAGCUGGAGCGUCUGUACAUUUAGUCAUAUGUUGGGAUUUCAAAUGGGGCCUAGGGGCAACAAACCAACUUGCUUCUGAUCUUUCUCACGCACGCUUUCUGGCUCCCUUUUUACAAUUGUUGAGUUUAGCUGUUAACUUUUGUCUCUUUCUGUAUAAGAAAAUAAUGAUUAAAAAUAAAGAUCACAUGGC